CCGAAGCACCCAUGGUUGGUCAAAAUUUGGGUGGUACGGAAGGACAGCACUCCGUACCUUCUUCCCACCCACUCUUCGAGAAUUGGCCCUAUUGCCGCCGCAGUCCAAUGACCAGCAGUAGGCGCCGCCAGUCUCUCCUUCCACUCGGACAGGACAUCCUCCUGCGCCUGCUCGCGCCAUCUUCUCACAAGCUCGGGCGGAGGACGGUCGCUGCUCGAGCGAGCAUUAGCUCUCCGGGAAUAAAUCUCCGCGAAAGAUUUUUAUCUCCUAAGCUAGAUAAAUCUUUAGAAAUCGGUACUUUCUUUUCUGAUCCUUAGACAUUAUCGUAAGCGGUAAGCGCGACACUGACCAAAUUCAAGUGUGCGCUCUGGAUAUUGAAACAAUAUACCAUCGUACGUCAUUCGUCAGUCUUGAUUAUUCAGAGAUCAUAGUACUUAUUUGUUGUUAAUUUUUGAGGUAUAAGUUUGGUAUGGUUCGUAUAAAGUCCCUAAUUGCAGGCGCACUGCGUGCGAAAACUGUCUUAGGUAGUUUUCAUAAGCCUUCCUUACGAAUACAAAAAUAUGCGACGGAACACUGCGAGGGACCUCCACAGCCUUUUGACAAUUUGCCGUUUAGAGUGCUUAACCGGUACGUUGCGACAGUGUUCUUCUCCAUUUUCUUCGGAAUCGGCUUGUGGGCUCCAUUCCUUAUAGUGUGGUAUUCUAUGGCUAAACGGUGUUUGUAAUUAAUUGAAGAGAAAUAAAUUGAAAAAAUAUUCUUGUCGUUUUAUUGCAUUUCUCAAUAUAAAGGCUACACUACACACAAAAGCGGCACUGCCGCCGGGUUAUUGCCAAACGGCAUUCAAGUCAAAGCCUUUAAGCCGCCUGGCAGCGAGAAAUAUGUAGGUACAGGGUAGUUUUACUAGUUUUCGUAGCUCACAAUGUUGUGUUGUAUGAAAUCAGAUUGCACAAGUUGGCAACAUUCGUUAAAGUAUUGAUCGAACCCUCCCACCCAAGUCCCAUUUCCGCAGCCAGUGCCAGUCGGUGCGAGUGAAGUGGUGGCAAUUUAUUGCUUUGUCUUUGAGUAAAUAAAUCGAUUAAUCUCAAUCACAAAUUUCUAACUGAAGUGACAAUGGAGCCGCUGCAGUUAUCAUCUGGCGAGUUGCUGAACCCGGAACAGCUGGGAGUAUGGAGCCAGAAGGACAAGUUUAAUCUUUGUCUGGCGUUACUGAAGACCGGCACUAAAGACCUGGACACUGUGUCGGCUUUUCUAUGGGAGCACACUGAGUGCACGAAGACGCGGGUGCAAAUUAAUGCUGCGAUUGAAAAUUUCACCCAGAUUGCCAAUGAUAUAUUCUAUCAAAUGCAAAACUAAAAGCAGCACAUUUCGCAUUCGUCCAAAUUGAAAAAGAAUUUUUCUUCAUCUUCACCUUCUACCCUCAUCUUCAAAAAAAAAAAAUUAAAAGCCAUUUAUGUUAAAAACAACAUCUUGGGAUUUUAACGGCGGAGACGGAGCUUACAAUGGAAUGCUGUAAAACAUGGAAGGAGUUUAUUUCGAGACACGAGAUCACCAGGAGUGUGCCUGCCCCAAAACAUGACCCUAAGAUGUAGUCAUAAGAUUACCAUCAGGAAAGAAUAGGAUCACCAUUGGAAAAUGUGUAGGGUUACCAAUAUAAUUGAUAUGUCCCGCGAUCAGUGUUUAUCUACGUGUAAUAUUAUAAUCAUAUAGCGUCUAAGUUAAUAUGUAUUUAGACUUAGUUUAGAUUUGAGGAAUGAAUGAUUUGUAUUGAGAGUUUAGGCAUUAAGGAAAGCGGAAAUCGUUGGAAAUAUUAUUUUGUUUGAUAAACGUACUCAAAUAUUUUUGAUCUAUUUAACUUUUCUGAACUCUGUCUGAUUGUAAUCAGAAAUUUUGGUAUAACUGACUAUAUUGACUUCAAUUUUAACUAACACUUUCAACUAUUACUGUAUUUUUUGUAUUCAGUUUUAAUAAACAUAUCCCCACUUUAAAAA